rnacentral:rRNA from 1 species
CCUACGGGAGGCAGCAGUGGGGAAUAUUGGACAAUGGGGGGAACCCUGAUCCAGCCAUGCCGCGUGUGUGAAGAAGGCCCUCGGGUUGUAAAGCACUUUCAGUGAGGAAGAACGCCUGGUGGUUAAUACCCAUCAGGAAAGACAUCACUCACAGAAGAAGCACCGGCUAACUCCGUGCCAGCAGCCGCGGUAAUACGGAGGGUGCGAGCGUUAAUCGGAAUUACUGGGCGUAAAGCGCGCGUAGGUGGCUUGAUAAGCCGGUUGUGAAAGCCCCGGGCUCAACCUGGGAACGGCAUCCGGAACUGUCAAGCUAGAGUGCAGGAGAGGAAGGUAGAAUUCCCGGUGUAGCGGUGAAAUGCGUAGAGAUCGGGAGGAAUACCAGUGGCGAAGGCGGCCUUCUGGACUGACACUGACACUGAGGUGCGAAAGCGUGGGUAGCAAACAGGAUUAGAUACCCCCAGUAGUC